CAAUAGCGUAUAUUAAAGUUGUUGCAGUUAAAAAGCUCGUAGUUGGACCUUGGACCUGGACAGGCGGUCCGCCUCACGGCGUGUACUGUCUUGCUGGGUCUUUCCUCUUGGUGAUCUGUUGUUUCGGCAGCAGGGAACCAGGACUUUUACUUUGAAAAAAUUAGAGUGUUCAAAGCAGGCUCGACGCCGGAAUAUAUUAGCAUGGAAUAAUAAGAUAGGACGUGCGGUUCUAUUUUGUUGGUUUUUGGAAUCGCCGUAAUGAUUAAUAGGGACAGUCGGGGGCAUUAGUACUCACAUGCUAGAGGUGAAAUUCUUGGAUUUUGUGAAGACUAACUUCUGCGAAAGCAUUUGCCAAGGAUGUUUUCAUUAA
rnacentral:rRNA from 1 species